UGAGUAACACGUGGGGAACCUGCCCCUAAGUCUGGGAUACCAUUUGGAAACAGGUGCUAAUACCGGAUAAUAAAGCAGAUCGCAUGAUCAGCUUUUGAAAGGCGGCGUAAGCUGUCGCUAAGGGAUGGCCCCGCGGUGCAUUAGCUAGUUGGUAAGGUAACGGCUUACCAAGGCGACGAUGCAUAGCCGAGUUGAGAGACUGAUCGGCCACAUUGGGACUGAGACACGGCCCAAACUCCUACGGGAGGCAGCAGGU
rnacentral:rRNA from 1 species